rnacentral:rRNA from 1 species
AACGAACGCUGGCGGCAGGCCUAACACAUGCAAGUCGAGCGAGGACUUCGGUUCUAGCGGCGGACGGGUGAGUAACGCGUGGGAAUGUGCCCUUCUCUACGGAAUAGCCCUGGGAAACUGGGAGUAAUACCGUAUACGCCCUUUUGGGGAAAGAUUUAUCGGGGAAGGAUCAGCCCGCGUUGGAUUAGGUAGUUGGUGGGGUAAUGGCCUACCAAGCCGACGAUCCAUAGCUGGUUUGAGAGGAUGAUCAGCCACACUGGGACUGAGACACGGCCCAGACUCCGACGGGAGGCAGCAGUGGGGAAUAUUAGAAAAUGGGGGCAAACCUGAACAAGCCAUGCCGCGUGAGUGAUGAAGGCCUUAGGGUAGUAAAGCUCUUUCAGCUGGGAAGAUAAUGACGGUACCAGCAGAAGAAGCCCCGGCUAACUCCGUG